UACGAAGGGGGCGAGCGUUGUUCGGAAUUACUGGGCGUAAAGGGCGCGUAGGCGGCGACCCAAGUCAGAUGUGAAAGUCCUGGGCUUAACCUGGGGACUGCAUUUGAUACUGGGUUGCUUGAAUGCAGGAGAGGAUAGCGGAAUUCCCAGUGUAGAGGUGAAAUUCGUAGAUAUUGGGAAGAACACCGGUGGCGAAGGCGGCUAUCUGGACUGUGAUUGACGCUGAGGCGCGAAAGCGUGGGGAGCAAACAGG
rnacentral:rRNA from 1 species